rnacentral:rRNA from 1 species
UACGUAGGGUGCGAGCGUUGUCCGGAAUUAUUGGGCGUAAAGAGCUUGUAGGCGGUUUGUCGCGUCUGCUGUGAAAUUUCGGGGCUCAACCCCGAACUUGCAGUGGGUACGGGCAGACUAGAGUGUGGUAGGGGAGACUGGAAUUCCUGGUGUAGCGGUGAAAUGCGCAGAUAUCAGGAGGAACACCGAUGGCGAAGGCAGGUCUCUGGGCAUUAACUGACGCUGAGGAGCGAAAGCAUGGGGAGCGAACAGG